UGUACUCAUUCCGCAAUUUUC
rnacentral:piRNA from 1 species